GGGCAAUUACCCAUCCCGGCUGGUUUCAUGAUUCAUCCAUCAAACAUAACAGAAUGCGGAAGGGGACUUCUAUUACUGCAAAAUUGGUGACAAUGGUCCAAAGCUGAAGACAAAAAAAAAAACCUUGUCAGGACCAUGUGAAAAAGCCCAGGGUAGACCAUCGGAGGAAGGCCCUCCUAGACCAUCCUACAGCCAGCCAACCCGCAAACAUUUUCGACAUUUCAGCCAAGAUCAACAGAUCUGCCUAUCUGACCCACAGCUGAUCACUGACACAUGAGUGAGCCCAGCUAAAACUAGAUUCAUCCAGCUGAUUCACAGACUCAUGAACGAUAAUAAAUAAAUACUCUUUAAGCCUCUAAUUUUGGGGGUGGUUUGUUAGAUAAGCAAU
rnacentral:lncRNA from 10 species